rnacentral:rRNA from 1 species
GAUGAACGCUAGCUACAGGCUUAACACAUGCAAGUCGCGGGGCAGCAUGGUGGUUGCUUGCAACCCCUGAUGGCGACCGGCGCACGGGUGAGUAACGCGUAUCCAACCUGCCCUUCACCACGGGAUAACCCGGCGAAAGUCGGACUAAUACCGUAUGUUGUCCAUUGACGGCAUCCGAAUUGGACGAACGUCUUGGCGGUGAAAGGAUGGGGAUGCGUCCGAUUAGCUUGACGGCGGGGUAACGGCCCACCGUGGCUACGAUCGGUAGGGGUUCUGAGAGGAAGGUCCCCCACACUGGAACUGAGACCCGGUCCAGACUCCUACGGGAGGCAGCAGUGAGGCAUAUUGGUCCAUGAGCGUAAGCCUGAACCAGCCAAGUAGCGUGCAGGAUGACGGCCCUAUGGGUUGUAAACUGCUUUUAUGCGGGGAUAAAGUGGCCCACGUGUGGGCUUUUGCAGGUACCGCAUGAAUAAGGACCGGCUAAUUCCGUG